UACGUAGGGGGCUAGCGUUGUCCGGAAUCAUUGGGCGUAAAGCGUGUGUAGGCGGUUUGGUAAGUCCGCUGUGAAAGUCGGGGGCUCAACCCUCGAAUGCCGGUGGAUACUGUCGAACUAGAGUGCGGAAGAGGCGAGUGGAAUUCCUGGUGUAGCGGUGAAAUGCGCAGAUAUCAGGAGGAACACCAAUUGCGAAGGCAGCUCGCUGGGACGUAACUGACGCUGAGACGCGAAAGCGUGGGGAGCAAACAGG
rnacentral:rRNA from 1 species